UUCAGGUUCCUGUAUCUUCAUGUCGAGUUGGUCGCUGCCCAACGUAGAGGACUAGGAAUCAGGAGUCAGUGGCCGUAUGCUGGAGGCUGGAGCCACGUGAACGCGGCUCGCCUUGCUGCGGUUGUUGGCAGUGAUGGAGAGAUAGCAGCGCGACUGGAGCGCUACAUUUACUAGAGCGACAAAAAGUGCUACAAGAAAAAGAUGAGCUCAGAAAAGCACUGGCCAGUUUAGAAGAAUUAAAAGAGAAAAAAACAGAAAUUAUCGGACUUGCAGGAUUAAGAGAGAUGGAGUGUCACUAUGUGGCCCAGGCUAGUCUCCUGGCCUUAAGUGAUCCUCCUGCCUCAGCCUCCCAAAGUGCUGAGAUGACAAGCGCCAACAGAUGAAAAAAGAUUCAAGGAA
rnacentral:lncRNA from 10 species